AUUGAACGCUAGCGGCAGGCCUAACACAUGCAAGUCGAACGCGUGGCGGACGGGUGAGUAAUGUCUGGGCAACUGCCCGAUGGAGGGGGAUAACUACUGGAAACGGUAGCUAAUACCGCAUACCAUCGGAUGUGCCCAGAUGGGAUUAGCUAGUGGGUGGGGUAAAGGCUCACCUCGGCGACGAUCCCUUUCUGGUCUGCGAGGAUGACCAGCCACACGGGAACUAGGACAGGCUCCAGAUUCCUACGGGGGGCAGCAGGGGGAAAUAUUGCACAAUGGGCGCAAGCCGGAUGCAGCCAUGCGGCGUGUAUGAAGAAGGCCUUCGGGUUGUAAAGUACUUUCAGCGAGGAGGCGUUACUCGCAGAAGAAGCACCGGCUACUAACGUGCAAGCAGCCGCGUAAUAC
rnacentral:rRNA from 1 species